UGAUGACAGAGGCUUCAUUGCGCCUGUUUGCAGAUUAGCAAGAUGCUAAUGCUCUCUGGCUAUCAGAAAUAAAACCACCUGCUGUCCACACAACCCGAAGGGUCUCCAGAACAAACAUACUAACCGUUAUAUACCAGAGCAGCUCAAGACCAGGAGGUGGCGAUAUUGACUGGGACAUUUUGGUGCUUAAUGACUAAUUCCAACAGUCUACAACUUCUGUUUAGUUACAUGGGAGAGAAGUCAUCUGCAGGCAUUGUUGAAGCAGCAUGAAGUGCAGCAGGUCCUGGUCCAGCUGGAAGAGGUUCAAGGUCUGAUGAGACAGAUGACCAGAUGAUGAGCACAGAACUGGAAAAUGUCCUGCAUAUUAUCCCAAAUCACAGCUGCACUGUGGACACGCAACAGUAUUUGACUAACCAGAUCAAGCAGCUCAGAGGG